GGCAACUGCCAGAGUUCCCGUGAGGCCUGACGUGCCUGCGGAGGGGCUGUGGGGAUGGACAGCCAGUGAUGCGGGGACCAGAAAAGGCCUUGGUUGUGAGGUCUGUUACAUUUCCCAGAAUGGUUCCCAGCGCUGGAGAUAAUUCCUUUUCGGAGAACCUACAUUUCUCACCUGCUGAUUGCAAUUAGCCGCUGCCAGCUGGGGCCUGGUGUGCAGCUGAAAAGCUAACAAGAAGUGGAGACCACGCGGAACCCAGACAGGGCAGAGGAUGUGAAUAAAUAAGGAAUAGUGCUCGUGUGUAUGAGCCGCUCCCGUGAAUCCGAGGCUUCCCGACCCUCUGGACGGCCCUCCCUCUUCGGGCUUUGUGCUCCCCACCCCUUCCCCUCACCUUUGUUUGUUUGUUUGUUUGUUUAUUUGUUUCUGGCUUUGUAGCCUACACUUAACAUCACAGUCACGAAUUUACCACUAAGUACAUUUUGUUAGGCAAUAAACAGCCUCGGAAGAAAAAUGAAA